rnacentral:rRNA from 1 species
GACGAACGCUGGCGGCGUGCUUAACACAUGCAAGUCGAACGGAAAGGCCUGCUUUCCCUUGUGGAUUGCGGGUACUCGCGUGGCGAACGGGUGAGUAACACGUGAGUGAUCUGCCCCCAACUUGGGUAUAAGCCUGGGAAACUGGGUCUAAUUCCCGAUAGUACUGCAGGGUGGUGCCUGUGGUGUAACACGAUUUUCUAGGUGUUGGGGAUGAGCUCGCUGCCUAUCAGCUUGUUGGUGGGUUAAUGUCCUACCAAGGCGGCGACGGGUAGCCGGCCUGAGAGGUUGGACGGACACAUUGGGACUGAGAUACGGCCCGGACUCCUACGGGAGGCAGCAGGGGGGAAUAUUGCACAAUGGGCGGAAGCCUGAUGCAGCGACGCCGCGUGGGGGAUGACGGCCUUCGGGUUGUAAACUCCUUUCGACCGCGAGGAAGCCACCUGGUUGGAAGGGUGGUGACGGUAGCGGUAGAAGAAGCACCGGCUAACUACGUG